rnacentral:lncRNA from 1 species
CUUUUCCGCCCUUAAACCGUCUGCACGUGGACGGCGGUUCAGUGUAAUCCUGCUUGUUCGGUGAUAACAGUGACCACAGCGUUGGGUGAACGUCAAGAGCGGGAGCCAAAGAGAGGGCGCACUCGUGUAGCCCUGCCGUGUGUGUGUUGCUGGAAAGCCUUUGCCACUGACCACCCUGGCCAUUGGUGCGGUUCCCCCAUUCUCUGGCCGCCCUCAUCCUCUUCAUCUGUGCCGCGUCCCUCUUGAAGAGGAGAUGAUAGCGCUAGUAAUUAGCCUGCGAGUGGGGCGGGAGGCUCGUCGUGGGCCACAGGAACAGCAGCCUAUGCUUGACAAGAGGCCAAAGAUAAUGAAAAGAUCCGGGAAGCAACAGCGAGGGCAGCACAUGGUUACCCCGGCGACACUGUUCAGCCACCGGUUGACCCAACAUCUGAAUGUCUCCGGACUCUCCUG